UGAUGGUGAUUAUAUUUGUGGCGGUUCUCUGUAUAUGGAAUAAUCAAAAGAAAACUCACACAGUUCCAAUGUUGAUGCUGAAAUCCAAGGCACCACUGAGACCGCUGGUGAUUAUGAGGAGAUCACGGAGACCCAACAGCAGACUGAAACACAAACGAACAUCAUUUAUUCUACUGUCAAUAAAAGUUUGGCAGCCAAUCAGAUCCAAGAUCCUCCCCUAUACUCCACCCUCUCCAUCUAUCCAGAGCCC